AACGAACGCUGGCGGCAUGCCUAACACAUGCAAGUCGAACGAGACCUUCGGGUCUAGUGGCGCACGGGUGCGUAACGCGUGGGAACCUGCCCUUAGGUUCGGAAUAACUCCCCGAAAGGGGUGCUAAUACCGGAUAAUGUCCUCGGACCAAAGAUUUAUCGCCUUUGGAUGGGCCCGCGUUGGAUUAGCUAGUUGGUAGGGUAAAAGCCUACCAAGGCGACGAUCCAUAGCUGGUCUGAGAGGAUGAUCAGCCACACUGGGACUGAGACACGGCCCAGACUCCUACGGGAGGCAGCAGUGGGGAAUAUGGGACAAUGGGCGAAAGCCUGAUCCAGCAAUGCCGCGUGAGUGAUGAAGGCCUUAGGGUUGUAAAGCUCUUUUACCCGGGAUGAUAAUGACAGUACCGGGAGAAUAAGCUCCGGCUAACUCCGU
rnacentral:rRNA from 1 species